rnacentral:misc_RNA from 1 species
UCUCCGUUGGUGAACCAGCGGAGGGAUCAUUACAGAGUUGCAAAACUCCCAAACCAUUGUGAACGUUACCUAUCCCGUUGCUUCGGCGGGCGGCCCGGGCCCCGCGCCCGGCGCCCCCCGGCCCCCCGUGGGCGCCCGCCGGAGGUAAACCAAACUCUUGAAUUGCAUGGCCUCUCUGAGUCUUCUGUACUGAAUAAGUCAAAACUUUCAGCAACGGAUCUCUUGGUUCUG